rnacentral:lncRNA from 1 species
UGUGCUUCAGCAAAUCAAGUUUAAAUUCCUUUGUCUCAUAGGGUGUAAGAAGUUUCAAGGGAACAAACUGCAUUCCCAGCCGGUCAUGAGUACCAACCUGUAAAUAAGAACAUGUAGGAAGAAGAAACAAUUUGAAUCAGUAUUGAGAUAAAAUCUCGUUUGCUCCUUAAAAUUUCAUUCUAUUAUCAAAUAAACUAGAAGGUGAAGAAACCUUGUCCCAGUCAAAGACUUGUAGCUGAAGAACUUGAGAUUGGGGGUCCUUCACAAUAAGCUUGAACUCCUCAUUCCAUUCAGGAUUCAAGUUCCUCUUCUUGAUGGUCGUUUUUUUUUCU